AGUAAUGCUUGGGAAUCUAGCUUAUGGAGGGGGAUAACUACGGGAAACUGUAGCUAAUACCGCGUAGAAUCGAGAGAUGAAAGUGUGGGACCUUCGGGCCGCAUGCCAUAGGAUGAGCCCAAGUGGGAUUAGGUAGUUGGUGAGGUAAAGGCUCACCAAGCCGACGAUCUCUAGCUGGUCUGAGAGGAUGACCAGCCACACUGGGACUGAGACACGGCCCAG
rnacentral:rRNA from 1 species